rnacentral:rRNA from 1 species
UUUUGAGUUUGAUCGUGGCUCAGAUUGAAGGCUGGCGGCAGGCUUAACACAUGCAAGCCGAGCGGUAGCACAGGGGGAGCUUGCUCCCUGGGUGACGAGCGGCGGACGGGUGAGUAAUGUCUGGGAAACUGCCUGAUGGAGGGGGAUAACUACUGGAAACGGUAGCUAAUACCGCAUAACGUCGCAAGACCAAAGAGGGGGACCUUCGGGCCUCUUGCCAUCAGAUGUGCCCAGAUGGGAUUAGCUAGUAGGUGGGGUAAUGGCUCACCUAGGCGACGAUCCCUAGCUGGUCUGAGAGGAUGACCAGCCACACUGGAACUGAGACACGGUCCAGACUCCUACGGGAGGCAGCAGUGGGGAAUAUUGCACAAUGGGCGCAAGCCUGAUGCAGCCAUGCCGCGUGUGUGAAGAAGGCCUUCGGGUUGUAAAGCACUUUCAGCGAGGAGGAAGGUGGUGAACUUAAUACGUUCAUCAAUUGACGUUACUCGCAGAAGAAGCACCGGCUAACUCCGUGCCAGCCGCCGCCGUAACACAAAA